rnacentral:rRNA from 1 species
UGCAGUCGAACGCAAUCUUUUAACAAUGAGUGCUUGCACUCAGCGUUUUAAGUGCGAGUGGCGAACGGGUGAGUAACACGUGGGCAAUCUGCCCAAAAGUGGGGGAUAACACUUGGAAACAGGUGCUAAUACCGCAUCAACCGGCUGACCGCAUGGUCGGCCGGGCAAAGACGGCGUCAGCUGUCGCUUUUGGAUGAGCCCGCGGCGUAUUAACUANUUGGUAAGGUAACGGCUUACCAAGGUGAUGAUACGUANCCGAACUGAGAGGUUGAUCGGCCACAUUGGGACUGAGACACGGCCCAAACUCCUACGGGAGGCAGCAGUAGGGAAUCUUCCACAAUGGACGCAAGUCUGAUGGAGCAACGCCGCGUGAGUGAAGAAGGCUUUCGGGUCNNAAAACUCUGUUGUUGGAGAAGAAUGGUCGGCAGAGUAACUGUUGUCGGCGUGACGGUAUCCAACCAGAAAGCCACGGCUAACUAC